AUUGAACGCUGGCGGCAGGCCUAACACAUGCAAGUCGAGCGGAUGACGGGAGCUUGCUCCUUGAUUCAGCGGCGGACGGGUGAGUAAUGCCUAGGAAUCUGCCUGGUAGUGGGGGACAACGUUUCGAAAGGAACGCUAAUACCGCAUACGUCCUACGAGAGAAAGCAGGGUACCUUCGGGCCUUGCGCUAUCAGAUGAGCCUAGGUCGGAUUAGCGAGUUGGUGGGGUAAUGGCUCACCAAGGCGACGAUACGUAACUGGUCUGAGAGGAUGAUCAGUCACACUGUAACUGAGACACGGUCCAGACUCCUACGGGAGGCAGCAGUGGGGAAUAUUGGACAAUGGGCGAAAGCCUGAUCCAGCCAUGCCGCGUGUGUGAAGAAGGUCUUCGGAUUGUAAAGCACUUUAAGUUGGGAGGAAGGGCAGUAAGCUAAUACCUUGCUGUUUUGACGUUACCGACAGAAUAAGCACCGGCUAACUCUGCGCCAGCAGCAGCCGCAG
rnacentral:rRNA from 1 species